AUCGAACGCUGGCGGCAGGCCUAACACAUGCAAGUCGAGCGGAAGAAGGGUGCUUGCUCCUGGAUCCAGAGUCGGAAGCGUGAGUAAAGCCUAGGAAUCUGCUGGGUAUUAGGGGGUAACGUCCGGAAACGGCCGCUACUACCACCGACGUCCAGAGGGAGCAGCUGGGUGAUCGUCGGACCGUAUGCUAGCAUGUGAGCAUAGGUCGGAUUAGCUAGUUGGUGGGGUAAAGGCCUACCAAGGCGACGAUCCGUAACUGGUCUGAGAGGAUGAUCAGUCACACUGGAACUGAGACACGGUCCAGACUCCUACGGGAGGCAGCAGUGGGGAAUAUUGGACAAUGGGCGAAAGCCUGAUCCAGCCAUGCCGCGUGUGUGAAGAAGGUCUUCGGAUUGUAAAGCACUUUAAGUUGGGAGGAAGGGCAGUAAGUUAAUACCUUGCUGUUUUGACGUUACCAACAGAAUAAGCACCGGCUAACUUCGUG
rnacentral:rRNA from 1 species